rnacentral:rRNA from 1 species
GACGAACGCUGGCGGCGUGCCUAAUACAUGCAAGUCGAGCGAAGCGGGGACGGGUGAGUAACACGUGGAUAACCUCCUAUAAGACUGGGAUAACUUCGGGAAACCGGAGCUAAACCGGAAACUUAUAGAUGGAUCUGCGUUGCAUUAGCUAGUUGGUACGGUAACGGCUUACCAAGGCAACGAUUCAUAGCCGACCUGGGAGGUUGAUCGGCCACACUGGAACUGAGACACGGUCCAGACUCCUACGGGAGGCAGCAGUGGGGAAUCUUGCGCAAUGGGCGCAAGCCUGACGGAGCCACGCCGCGUGUGUGAUGAAGGUCUUCGGAUCGUAAAGCUCUUUUAUUAGGGAAGCGGUACCUGCUCAGAAAGCCACGGCUAACUACGUGCCAGCAGCCGCGGUAAUUC